rnacentral:rRNA from 1 species
CUUUAUUUUUCAUGCUGGCGACGGUAAUUCCGGAGCCUCGAGUGCCAGGUUACAAAUCUGGCUGUCGAGAUGCCUAAAAAGCAUUGCAUAGCAAGGGCCGGGCAAGACCGGUGCCAGCCGCCGCGGUAACACCGGCGGCUCGAGUGGUAACCGUUAUUAUUGGGUCUAAAGGGUCUGUAGCCGGCCGGGUAAGUCUCUUGGGAAAUCUGGCAGCUUAACUGUCAGGCUUUCAGGAGAUACUGCCUGGCUCGAGGCCGGGAGAGGUGAGAGGUACUUCAGGGGUAGGGGUGAAAUCUUGUAAUCCUUGAAGGACCACCAGUGGCGAAGGCGUCUCACCAGAACGGACCUGACGGCAAGGGACGAAAGCUAGGGGCACGAACCGGAUUAGAUACCCGGGUAGUCCUAGCCGUAAACGAUACUCGCUAGGUGUCGGCCACGGUGCGACCGUGGUCGGUGCCGUAGGGAAGCCGUGAAGCGAGCCACCUGGGAAGUACGGCCGCAAGGCUGAUACUUAAAGGAAUUGGCGGGGGAGCAC